rnacentral:rRNA from 1 species
CCUACGGGCGGCAGCAGUGAGGAAUAUUGGUCAAUGGACGAGAGUCUGAACCAGCCAAGUAGCGUGAAGGAUGACUGCCCUAUGGGUUGUAAACUUCUUUUAUAAAGGAAUAAAACGAGGCACGUGUGCCUUUUUGCAUGUACUUUAUGAAUAAGGAUCGGCUAACUCCGUGCCAGCAGCCGCGGUAAUACGGAGGAUCCGAGCGUUAUACGGAUUUAUUGGGUUUAAAGGGAGCGUAGAUGGGUUGUUAAGUCAGUUGUGAAAGUUUGCGGCUCAACCGUAAAAUUGCAAUUGAUACUGGCAGUCUUGAGUACAGUUGAGGUAGGCGGAAUUCGUGGUGUAGCAGUGAAAUGCUUAGAUAUCACGAAGAACCCCGAUUGCGAAGGCGACCUGCUGGAACAUUACUGACGCUGAUGCACGAAAGCGUGGGGAGCAAACAGGAUUAGAUACCCCUGUAGUC